AAGACUAUACUUUCAGGGAUCAUUUCUAUAGUUCGUUACUAGAGAAAUCUCACUGAUCGUGUAGAGCACCCGAAACCACGAGGAAGAGGCGUAGUGUUCUCUCCUGAGCGUGAAGCCGGCACUAGGUGUUGCUUUAAUGCAACUGCCUUUUGCCAUUGAUGAUCGUUCUUCCCUUCCUUUGGGAAAGGUUAGAGGGAGAGAACGCAGUCUGAGUGGU